GAUGAACGCUGACAGAAUGCUUAACACAUGCAAGUCUUUGGCGAAGCUGUGCUUGCACAGCCUAGCCAAGGCGGACGGGUGAGUAACGCGUAAGGAACUUGCCCUGCAGUCAGGGAUAACAGACGGAAACGACUGAUAAGACCUGGUAAAGUCAGGCGGACUCAUGUCCAGCCUGAUGAAAAGAGAUGCUGCAGGAGAGCCUUGCGUCCUAUUAGCUUGUUGGUGGGGUAACGGCCCACCAAGGCGAUGAUAGGUAGCCGGCCUGAGAGGGUGGACGGCCACAAGGGGACUGAGAUACCGCCCUUACCCCUAAGGGAGGCAAGAGUGGGGAAUAAUGGAACAUGGGGGCAACCCUGAUCCAGCAAUUCUGUGUGCACGAUGAAGGUUUUCGGAUUGUAAAGUGCUUUCAGCAGGGAAGAAAAAAAUGACGGUACCUGCAGAAGAAGCGACGGCUAAAUACGUG
rnacentral:rRNA from 1 species